ACGGGUGGGCCUCAAAUUUCCCCGGACCCGGCAUCCCAUGUGUCCUGUGCGCGUCCUGGGUGAGCGAAGGAAGAGGCGUGGGGCUGGAUCGUGGUGCACGGUGAAAACCUAGCCACCAAUCCCUCGCAUCCCGGAACAGCCAGUCCCUCCGCUCCCCUCGAGACCGCUCCCCUCCUCUCCUGCCUCUGUGCCGCCUCCUCCUCCCCUGCGCCGCCGCCUCCUCCCCUUCUUCCCUGCUCUCCAGUACGCCUUCUCCUCCGCCCAUUCACUUUUCUCUCCCGCGGCGGCAACGACCUGCAACCAAAAGGCGACGAAGACGGUGCUCGAUUCGAUCUGCAGGGGAGAGAGAAGAUAAGAGGGAGAGAGAGACGGAAGGAGAGGAGGGAGAAUUAUGUUGCCGCCGCGUGCCGUACUUCUGGAUCGAGCGCUGCCUGACCAAGGGAUAGGAGUAGGAGCGCCACCGGGGAUGAGAGGAGCAGCUGCUGAAGCAGGCACGGCGCUGGUGCACUGCCGGCGAAGUGGUGGUCGACGGUGCCGUCGACGUCGUCCUUGGCAGAAGGAUGCAAGUUAAAUACUCAUGUGUGCUGAACUGAAAAAGUUCUCUAUGCAACAUCUAUUGCAGUGGCCCAUUCCCCUGUCGUGCUUGGACUAGCUAGAUGGAUUGGAGUUGUCUAUUCUGCGUUUGGCAUUCCCUGGAUUUCUACUUGGAUGUGUUGUGGUGAUUAUUUGACAGAUCAUGCCGCUCUUCCACCAUCUUGUUGUCUCACGUGCUGUUAUUCUUGCUGCCAAGUGAUGCUUGGAUGUUUAAUGUUGCUUAUUCAGCAUGGGCUAUCAACCUGUGAUUAUCUACAUGGUAUAUCUAGCAAAUCAAUCUACUGGGCUCAGGUCCUGCACAUGCCAUCUACUUGCUUUCUUCUCAAGCGGGAUUGGCUGCAACCUCCUGUUUGUGACGCGGUGCCGCCAAAAGUAUGCUUCUCUCUGUCCCGAUUCUAAUUCUCUGCGUUCUCCAUCUACAUAUGCAUGUGAUUGCCUACUCUGUUUCUGCCCAACAACAUAUAUGUACGUAUGUUGGUGGAAGUAGAGAUAAAGAGUGAGAGAGACAAAAUGCUAGGGAGAAAGAUAGCUAGACAACUGAUAAGUAUAUAUUCUCGACUGUAUAUUUUGGUUAUUAUUUACAAGCCGAACUUCCAUUAUUCCAAGGGUGUCAUGUCACAUUUAUUGAUUCACAUGAAUAAUGGUCCUAUGCUAACAUUUUCUUGACAUAUUCAAGAAUUGCAAUUGGUGGACAUGUUUUCCCUGGCUCAACUCUUUCAGAUCACAUUCUACUUUUAAUAACAUACCCCAGGUUUGACACUUAACAUCUCUUUAUAGAAGUAGAUAGUGUUAACCUUCUUCCUGUAGUGUAUGAAUAUUCUUCAUCUUUGUCACGCAAGUGUCCUGUGAAUAUUAUAUUUUUUGGCUCUCAUUGACUUGCGGGCCCAGCAAAUGCGGUUCAUUUCCUGUGUUUCUUUGAUGAUUAUAGAUGAGACUUGGCAGAAAAAGUAUAGAAGUGAAAUUUACUACAAAUGUAUGCCAAUGAGUUUCAGAUGCACCUUGAAUUAUUCCUGAAUUGGAAGAUAGGCUUUGUUGAUACCUCAGUCUAGAGAACUAGAGUUCUUCUAGUGCUUGUUUCAAUAUUGGAACUAUGUGUUUGUGAGCAAUUCAUACAUACUUUUUAGAUUUGAUUACUUCCCAAAUAUAGAGCAGUCCUUCGAUUCAUUUUCGUGUGUUUGCGAUCAUUUCAUUGAUGCUUUUUAGAUUUGUUUGCUUCCCAAAUAUAGAGCAAUCCUUCGUUUCAUUUGUCAGGAAGUAUCUAUCCUGUUUCUAGGGAUUCAUGUUGCGGGAUAUCAAAAUUAGUCAUUGCUCAAUGGAGCAAUACAAAUAACUGUCCAGCAAGCCUUUCAUACCAUAAACUAUGAUUAAUACAUAGUUAUCAACAUUUUUUUUUCUAUUUUACCAGAGAUUACCAUGCUGCAUGUGUUAAAAUCCAAAAUUCAUGUGUAUAUAUAUAUAUAUAUAUAUAGGGUGGGUCUAUUAUGAUAACACCCUCUAGAGUCUUAUUCUGCACACCAAACCCUUAUUCUGCUAACACCCCAAUCCACCUCCCGCACGACCACGACCCCUCCUUCCUCCACCCACGAACUCUCCCCUCCACCCACUCCCUCCACCUCCUUCCUUCAGCCAGGGCCGCGCCCAUCCCACCUAACCUCCUCCUUCCCCGCGCCUCCCUCCCCAUGGCUCCUUCCCCGCGCCUCCCUCCCCAUGGCUCCUUCCCCGCGCGUUCGCGCCGCACUUCCUCCCAGCACCGGAGCGCCCCCUGUCCUCAUCACCUUGACCCACCUCCUUCCACCGAGCUCGUUCCGGCCACCCCGCACCCAGCCAGCGAUGGAUCUGAGCACCCCCUGCCCAGCCGGCGACGGAUCUUGGCUCUUCCCCCACGAACCUCCUCCCAAUCUCGCGUCGUUCACCUGGCGCGGAGCUAGACUGCUCCUCCCAUGGUGUUCGGCGGAGGGCGGACGACGGUGAGCUGCACCUCCGUCGCGGCCAGCGGCGAGGGCCCCCGAGCGCUCCUCCUGGGGUUCCCGUCGUUCUGCCUCCACCCCGCUUGCAGUGCACAUCUACUGCACUGCUAUCCCGUGCAGUUCGGAUCCGGCCCUCCACCUCCAGACGCCCGUCGCACGUGCCACUCCCCGGCAUCCUAGCUUCCCCUUCUCUGCAGUUCGCAUGGGGGACAACUGCAGCUUGCCCUUUACUUCAGAUUUUUUGAUGCACACUAAAUUUUUUGAUGCACACUAAAUUUUUUGAUGCGGUCCCCUUGGGUGCUGCCUUCUCUCCUUUUUGCUCGCCCAUGCCGCUGGGCGAUUUGGCUUCCUCAUGCAGUUCAACGGGGCCACCAAUGGCCUUCCCGCGACGACCAUCUGCCGGCGGAUUGGCCAGCGGCGACAGCCACCACUCUACUCUCUCCCCCUUAUCCACAUGCGUUCAUUCACACAGCAGUCCGGCGGCUCCACUGGCGGCAUGUGCAAUUCACUCCAUGCGAGAUGAGGUGCUCCUCCUUGAUGGCCGAAGAGUUCAGAAAAAGGAUUGCGCCUCACAGUAUGCGGGUGUUGUGGUCAUGCAGCUUGGAGAUGCUCGCGAUGCCGUUCGGAGCUUGUGCGCAUGCACUACGGCGAGCGCCAUCUCUUCCCAUUGGUCGGUGGACCAUGGCCGUGCAGCUCGGAGAUGCUCCCCAUGCGGUUCCGGGCUUGUGUGCGUGCAGUGGGGAGAGCGCCAUCUCCAUCUCUUCCCCUGUGGUCCGUCGACCAUGGUUGUGCAGCUCGGAGAUGCUCGUCGUGCGGUUCAGGGCUCAUGCUUGUGUAGUCCGGCGAGGGCCAUCUCUUCCCCUGUAGUCCGUCGACCAUGGCAUGCAGUUUGCGGACGCUCGCCAUGCAGAACAGGGCUCAUCCGCGUGCAAUCUGAUGAGCAUCCGUGCACAACAGCACCUCUACCACAACAUUCAGAAAGAGGAUCCCCCUAGCUUGGGAAUGGAUAGCUCUGGAAUCUACUCCUCACAAUUGUUAUAUGCUGCUCUCAACUUCUGUGUGUUAUGUUAUGCUUGUCUUUAUCCCGGCUGUUCCUCUUGCUGUAGCUGGUAGUAGCUCAUAAUAAAUUUUUGGAAAAAGUGUGACAACCUUGUAAAAGAAAACGUAUCUCUGACGCUUUGCGUUUGUUGUGCUCUAGACAAGAACGUUGCACACUUAUUAUGCAACUGUGAGAUUUCUAGAAUAAUCUAGGAUAAACUAUCUGAUAUGCUUCAAAGAAGAGUAGAAGGAAAAAUUGAACAAGGUUGCUGCUGAAGCUUUUGCAUUGAGGAGUGAGAGGACCUGUUAAAUAUUUUCCUUUCCUUUUUUUCAUUUUGGCAAUUGGCCUAUUUUGCUCUAGAGUUGUCUUAAAUUUUUCCAUGUCAUUGAGAAAAAUGUUUUGAAGUUCACUAGCAAAAUGGGCGACCGCGUGAUUGCAAUACGUCCAGAGAGUGCGUGCGGUUAGGCGGGGCAGGCACUGCAUUGUGUCAUUGCAUUUAAAAAAAAUGUGCGGUGUGUUUUAUUUUGUGUGUGAUGAUUGUAACAUGGAGAUAGAAGAAAGGAAAGGGAUGCAAUUUUGUUACACUCCAUUGUGGUUUAUUGCUCUGUUUGUAAAAUCUUUCUUUGUAAAAGCAGUGCGCUCGGUGAAUUGAAGAAGUACAUUUUUUCAAAGUAUUGUAGUUUAUUGUUGAAAUUCUUUGUGAUUCGCCUUAUUAAACUUGCGUGGUUGUCGUGGUUCAUUCUUCUUGACCAUUCCGUGCACUUUGGUCUAAAAAAGGUCCACUAUGAAGGACACCUCAGUACACCACUUAGAACAAAAAAUGCAUUUAAAAAAAUAUAGUGCACUUCACUGCCUGAUGCAGUGCGGUUUUCAGUUAGAAGUAAUGCGUUCUUCUGUCCGAUGAAAGGUCCACUCGCUUGGUCAACGCGCGUAAAAAAUUAAUAAGUAUAAAAAAAGACAACAAGUACUCAUGAGGUUCACUUUUGGUAGUGUUACGGUUCACUUUUGGAAGUGUUGUUGUCCACUCCCGUUCGGAAAAAAAUUGAAAAAAAGACAACAAAAACUUGUUGAAAACUGUCCAACAUGUCGAAGUUGCGCCUAAUCCAUAGCUUUUCAACGGUAUAUUAUACGCCUCGUUCCGAUAAACAAUCAAAAAAUUAGAGCAAAAAUAGUACCAGAAAAACAUUGCGUGCAGUUUUUUCCGACGCGAAGUUCACUAGUCUAUAUUGCAGUGCUCGUCGUCAAGAAGAUGCAGUGCACUUGUGUUCAGCAUGCAGUGCGGAAGUGGUGUGCAGAAUAGUUAUUCUACUAAUAUUAGCAGAAUAGACCGUCUAUAUAUAUAUAUAUAUAUAUAUUAUAUUGGAGUUUUGUUAUUCCCGUGGGACUAACUGAAGCGUAACCGUAAUAGGGCAUAUCGCAUUAAGUAGAAUUAGCUUUUUGAUUAGUAUUUGCGAAAUGAUCAAAUGAUUCAUCCACUCAACGCAAUGAGUGCAUGCUGGUAGUUGUUGGAUAAGGACGAAAAAUAACAUGGGCCGUUGUCGUACUGCUGCAGACCCCCCCUCGCCUUGUUUUCAUAUAAACCAUGCAUGGAGCACAUAGUCGCACGUGGCCUGAUUAGCAAACACUUUCUGUUGUGUGAUGAUACAAUCACCAAUUAGUUAAUUUUGUAAUUGACUUUGCUUGUUUACUUGUCAUGAGUGUUAUUAAAUUUGGCACAAUUUGUAUCUCAUAAUUAAUUGGAAUCCCUUCAUGCAGGAACCAGAUGCUCCCAAAGUUCUUCUGGUUGAGUCAAUUACUUACUAGCAAUGAUAUUCACAAUGGAAGCCUUUAUAACAGGCUACUUUGAUUGAUUCUCAAACUAUGUUACAAAUGAAGCUUAGUAACAAAUGUUUUGGUGGUGGCAUUUCAUACACCAGUCCAGUGUUGCUACCCAGUGAUGAGUUGUAUGAAGCACUGUGAAAUGCUUUGAAAAAAGUCUUGGAGGUGGUGGUUCACUGCUGCUACUCCCGUGACAGCCAAGGCAUAUGUUGCAGCUCUCUGAGUUUAAGGAGGAAAGGAAGGCAUGAUUUCUUCUUGGAGAGGCCUUCAAGUACGUGUGAAAGUGUAAUAUUCAAGCAUUAUGCGACAAUGACACUGUGCUUAUUCAUGCGUUCACACGCUCUGAAGACCAUAAUCAAACUAAGAAGAUGCCUAAAUAAGCCGUGAGGCAGGCUACCUAUAUAUAAGUGUUUCUGUAAACCAACACAAGUCUUUUUCUUUUUCUUUGGCAGAUGUAAACCGAUACAAGUCAUUCCACUAUCUGUAAUAUAGAUCACAUUGCAUUAUAUUUCUAGCUACA